rnacentral:lncRNA from 1 species
CCGUGUCCCUAGAAACCACCUUGUUCCACCCUAAUCGAACUCACGAUUCCAUUCACAACUACGACAACAACAAAGGCAUGUCCAUCGUCAUUUUUACACCCGCCUAUAUUUCGUCCUCAGCAUCGUGGAAGCCUAUCAUUUCGUUCCCUACAAGGUGCUUUUUCGGUGUCAGUUGACUCUCUUUGCGGCCUCUUCGCUUUCGUAUUUGUUUUCCUAUGGCCGAUGCCUACUCUAGCAAUCCACCACACAAGGUGAUCAUGCUUUUCUGAGGGUACGCAUUCACACAUUCUUGCGCGGAUAUUCUCACUUCCCCCAUUGUUUUUGCUUCUCCUUUCUUUCUAUCUACAGUCAACUUCUAUAGCAACGACUUCUCACGGUGAUUGCACUAUCUUUGUGAAUGUUCUUCUUGAGUUUCACGUGUUAUCUAUGUCUAAGAAAACUUUAGAUAGACUUUAUUCUACUUAAGAUGCAUUGAACAAAAUCAAUCAUAAUGCAAGAAACUUAUAGGAACUUGUAUAUUUCAGUAGGACCGAGUGUGAGUCUUACAAAUUCUUCAGAUGUGAUCAGCUUGAUCUAACAAAAUGAGUUUAUACCAUGGUUGCUUCACAACUAGCUAGGAAAAUGAUUUUGUGGAGCAAUAACCAAAUCAGGUGCUAACGGCGAAGCCGCAAGGGGCAAUCAAUGCUCCAUUAGUAUAUCCUAAUGAACACUUGUCUGUUGAGCUACCUGGAUUUACACAUACUCUUUUGCUGGGAGGGUAUCAUUAAACUUUCCAGUACAAUGGAAACCACAAACACGAUAGUUUGUAUAUCCACUGAGGCACCCAAUAGAUGCACUCUCAUGUGUCAUUAUAUGGCAGUAAAGGAGUCUUUGUAAAGUUUCUUAGAGACUUACAUCUAUAAUUGCAAAAUUUGGGGGUGACUAUGGAGCAUUUACCAUGCCAAUCCAAUUUUAUAUGGUGGUUGUAAGCUAGGAUACACCCUUACUAUUCCAUUUCGUACUAAAAGAACCCUAAAACCCCAUCUGACCACUUCUCUUUCACGAGAUUAUUAUUUAACUUAACAUUUCACAUCUCAAGACAAAGGAAACAAGAAUGGAUUGGAGGAAGAAC